UACGGAGGAUGCGAGCGUUAUCCGGAUUUAUUGGGUUUAAAGGGUGCGUAGGUUGUUUUUUAAGUCAGCGGUCAAAGCCCGGGGCUCAACCCCGGCCCGCCGUUGAAACUGGCUGGCUUGAGUUGGGGAAAGGCAGGCGGAAUGCGCGGUGUAGCGGUGAAAUGCAUAGAUAUCGCGCAGAACUCCGAUUGCGAAGGCAGCAUACCGGCGCCCGACUGACGCUGAAGCACGAAAGCGUGGGUAUCGAACAGG
rnacentral:rRNA from 1 species